GCCGCGCGACGAGCGGGCUGGGGGCGCUGCACGCCGCUCCUCGCCGCUGCUUGCUCGCCUCGCCUCGCGCGAGCCCGGCUCCCGCCCGCCCUUCCUCCCGCCCGGCUCGCGCCGCCGCCGGCCAAUGCGGGCCGCAGCGAGGAGCCGGCUUUAACCAUCUGUUGCGAGGCGCCUCCUCCUAGCGCUGCCGCCUCCCUUGCGGGGGGCUCCCGCCCAGGCACCCCUCCGAGGAGACAGAGAGCGAGGGGAGAGCUUUAUGCCUCGCUAAGGUGCUCUCUGCCCCCCGGAGCCUUCGGGGGCCGCGGCUGUUGCCCGUCUCCCUUCCCCCACGCGCCUCGCGCUCCCAUCCCCCCGUCCCCUCAGCGCCCUUCCCGCCGUCCGCUCGCCUCAGGGCGGUCCCUCCUGAGUGCCUUCGCUGUGAGGUACCAAAGAUACGUGUAAGGAGAUGCUCUUCACGCAAGUACUUUGCAUGCUGUCAUAUAUAGACAUCAGAGAAAGAAUGGCUAGGACUGGAGCAAUCCGGAGACAAAAAACUGCCCCCAGAAGCAGUCAGCGAAAAUACAAAUAAUUUAUUCAGUUGUACAAGAAGUCUUGACAGAACCCAAAAGCAUAUACAGGUUUCACUCACCGUCCUGGUGCCCUAUCAGUAAUUACUUCUUCCCUGUGGGGCUGUUCAGCAGUGACCAUAUCAGUGUGUGGAGAAAUUGAAGCAUAGAGGGAAGAAAUGCUGUCUGUGUUCAUAUGGCAUGCCAGUGACAGAGGGGAUUGCAAAUGUUGUUGCCUGGACACCAUGCUAUCUUAGACUGAAGGAGCUCUCAUCAGUUCCUAAAUCAGUGCAUUACAGCCAAAUGUAAGUAUAGGGAUCUAUCUUUCUUGACAAUCUCCUUUAUAAUUCAAUUUUGUUUCUCUGGUAGAGUUAUCUAUUUGGCAUUUUUCAACAAAUCAUUUUUACAAAUGUAGAUAAAAAU